rnacentral:rRNA from 1 species
GAUGAACGCUGGCGGCAUGCCUAAUACAUGCAAGUCGAACGAGAACCUUCGGGUUCUAGUGGCGAACGGGUGAGUAACACGUAGAUAACCUGCCCACCAGACCGGGAUAACUGAUGGAAACGUCUGCUAAUACCGGAUAGUUACAGAGGAGGCAUCUCCUUUGUAUUGAAGUCGGGACACGACACUGAUGGAUGGAUCUGCGGUGCAUUAGCUAGUUGGUGAGGUAACGGCCCACCAAGGCGAUGACGCAUAGCCGGCCUGAGAGGGUGAACGGCCACAUUGGGACUGAGACACGGCCCAAACUCCUACGGGAGGCAGCAGUAGGGAAUUUUCGGCAAUGGGGGGAACCCUGACCGAGCAAUGCCGCGUGAGUGAAGACGGCCUUCGGGUUGUAAAGCUCUGUUGUAAGGGAAGAACGGUACGGAUAGGGAAUGAUCCGUAAGUGACGGUACCUUACCAGAAAGCCACGGCUAACUACGUGCCAGCCGCCGCAGUAAAAC